rnacentral:lncRNA from 1 species
GAGGCAGCAACAGAACUGAGAAGCAGCGAAAGUGCAUCUGGAGCAGAGAGGAGAAUUCAGAGGGUGCAGAGACCGCUCAGCCCCACAGCUCUGCUGCAGUCCUCCAUAGCACAGUCACGACGAGAUGGAUCCUGAAGCCCUCACAAAUCUACCAGCUCUAGUCACUUAUUUUAUAUGGUGCACUCAAAUUUGAGUCAUUUGAUAGGUAUUCUUUACAUUCUAUACACACACGUGCACACACUUACAUACACACACACACACACACACACACACACACACACACACACACAAAUGAGUUUUAUUUGAAAUGGAGAGAAUCCCCAUUCCAAACCAGGUAAUUUCAUAUUGAGUGAUUCUGCCUUCUGGAAACAUUUCUCCAAAUCAGCUUUCUCUUUUCUCCACUCCCUUCUGACACUUUAACUACCUAUUGUACUGCUUUCUAGGAGUCAUCGGAGGCCAGUAUGUGUCUUGUUCCCCACUUUGGGCAAGGGUACCUAGCCAUGUGCAAAGUGAGGCUUACCUAUGGUCUGUCUUUUGAGGCGAUCCAAGGUGAGGUCUGAAGUGCUUGAGUCCAGAGAAGGUGCUGGUAAGAAAUAUUGCAAGGUCGGGUGGGGCAGGGAUAUGUUGAUAAAACAGAUGAGAUCCCCUGAUAUGACAGUGUGGGGUUUCCUCUGAUUGGCCCAUGGUGACUUGCCCCAUUUCCACCAAGUACAAAGACACAGGGACCGCCAAUUGUGUUAAGGAGGAACUGGAUUUCUCUAUCCUCUGGCCCCACUCUCUAUUGCAAACUAUUUGUUGUAUAUUGAUCAUUGUUACCACAGAACUUACUCUUGGCAUGCUCAGAUCCUUGCUACCUCUGCCACCCCUGCUGCUGCUUCUGCUUCUGCUUCUGCUUCUGGUGCUUCUGCUUCAAUGUUUUGUCCAUUGCAGGCUUGGAAGGGCCAGGAGCUUCUGGAGCCAAUAAGUGAGCAUUCCAAAGCCUCAUGCUCAGGAAACUGCAGAAAACACCAGUAAUGUCACUCAACACAGAAUAACCCUUGCAGCCAGAGUCACCUGCAG